GACAUGGGAGAAUCCUUAUGGAGGAGAUGGGACCGACACCUUCCUGCUUAGCGAGGAUGGGCACACACUAACACAGGUGCAGAUACUUUCCAUGUCAGCAGAUUCUCACAUCAAGCAUCACCGUAUCUGUGUCCGUCGGGGCAUAGAAAUUUGAGAGGGCAGAAAUGUGUCAUGCAGGUGACCGACAUGACAAUCAGGGACACUGGAGAGAGGUGCCACUACAGGUAAUAACCAUUGCAUUUCUUACACAAUGGGUCAUUGCCAAGAUUGCAGUGCGCAUGUAACUUGAAGCUGACAAAGCUCUUGUCGAACUGCUCUCAGGACGGUGUACCACAGAAGGCAAUGACAAAGAGCUUCGAUCAAGAGAACUGGAGACAGGACACUUAGGGAAGCUUGCCGGCACUGUGCAUGUGACAUUGACAUCAGAUCGAUAUUGGCUGCCUUUUACUCCAGUACAGCGCACUACCGUAUUGUAGAUAAGAUGUACUAUAUUUCAUACUUCAUAAGAUGUACCACUAGCAGGACUACAUCGUUGCUGACAGCCAAAGCCAUGCUGCUUGUUGGUGGUGCAAGCCGCUUGCUGACAUGGCACAAUUUCAUUAUUCAAACAAGACGAUUGUUGCAAUCCAGCGAGAGCAUGUUGCUAUGGCGACAAAAGACUAGGGUAAGAUUGAAAACGGUCAGUGGUUCAUUUAAAUUCAGCUAUGUGAAAAUAAGGGUAGCUUCUCAGAAGAAACGGAAUGCACGUACAUGGUCACUGCGCAUACGGUAUGUACAGUAGAUGAUCGUGAGUUCGCGCAGGUAGAUUUAGCUAAAGGUGUGCUAGUCUAGACACAGCUGCUGCAGUUGCAGUUAGCAGCUGCAGUAAACCUCUCAGGGAUACUCAAUUGGUGUGCCUGUUAGCCUGCAGGUGUUGGUCUUCACCUUAGCAUUCAAAUCAGGUUGCCACUGCCAGCACCAGUCUUGACAGAAAUGUUAGCUUAGAUCAGC
rnacentral:lncRNA from 1 species